rnacentral:tRNA from 1 species
UCCCUGGUGAUUUAGUGGUUAGGAUUCUGGGCUUUCACUGCUGCAGCCUGGGUUCAAACCCUGGUCAGGGAG